AUUGAACGCUGGCGGCAGGCCUAACACAUGCAAGUCGAGCGGAUGAAGGGAGCUUGCGCCUGGAUUCAGCGGCGGACGGGUGAGUAAUGCCUAGGAAUCUGCCUGGUAGUGGGGGAUAACGUCCGGAGACGGGCGCUAAUACCGCAUACUUCCUGAGGGAGAAAGUGGGGGAUCUUCGGACCGCACGCUAUCAGAUGAGCCUAGGUCGGAUUAGCUAGUUGGUGGGGUAAAGGCCUACCAAGGCGACGAUCCGUAACUGGUCUGAGAGGAUGAUCAGUCACACUGGAACUGAGACACGGUCCAGACUCCUACGGGAGGCAGCAGUGGGGAAUAUUGGACAAUGGGCGAAAGCCUGAUCCAGCCAUGCCGCGUGUGUGAAGAAGGUCUUCGGAUUGUAAAGCACUUUAAGUUGGGAGGAAGGGCAGUAAGUUAAUACCUUGCUGUUUUGACGUUACCAACAGAAUAAGCACCGGCUAACUUCGUG
rnacentral:rRNA from 1 species